GGGAAGUCGCCAAGACGUUCACAUUGUUCACGUUGAAACCCAUGCAAGCCGACGUGUCGGGGCAUCACAGAUCUCUUGCAGAACGCAGUAUCAUCGUAUGGUUUGCCUCCAUUCAAGGGCUGAAGAUCAUUAAGGGAUCGCCCCGUCAAAGUGAAACUUACACUGCAGGACUCGAGCUUCAGUGUUAACAAAAGUCAGUUACCGGUCCGACAGGGAUCCUCCAUCAAACAUGUUGGGCGCCAUUCUUGCGGGAUGCAUUUUCCUGGUCGUAUUUCUGGUGGUUAUCCGACUGGUAGGAUUUUCACCUGGCGGAAUACUGAGUGGGUCCUGGGCAGCAGUCAUCAUGUCCGUCGAAGCGAUUUUAAGCGGCGGUGGUGUAGUGGCCGGAGGGCUUACUUCCACACUCCAGGUCAUAGGAUCCAGGGGGCCGAGUCUGAUGGCUGCUUUAGCAAUCAUUUCCGUAGGGGCAUUCUUGUGGAUCUACUUGUUUUGAGCCCCCCCCCAAGGGUAACUUGGGGGGUAUGAAAGGUAACUUACUUGAAUUCAAUUUCAUUUCCUUUGCUUCGAAAUGUUACAGCUUCUCACCCUAACCUCUAAUUAAAGCUCACCCUUCUUGAAAUUGAUUCUCGAUCCAUAGUGCCUCCGUUUGACAUCGCGGGUGUAAGCAUACAAAUUUAGAAAUCCCAAUGCUGAUGAACGAUGGAAAAAACUGAUUUCGAGUCAUUAAGACUGGCCGAUAAGACCGAUCAUUUACCAAUUUUGCAAAUGCAUUACCGGAUAGAAUGCCACGUAAAAGCUAAAGUAUUUCUCAUUCAUUAAGAAAUAUUAAUUCCCGUACUAUUAAUAGUUUCCAUCUUAGCUUGCAAGCUAUGGACUGGAAUACAGUGUUUCAUAAAGCCAGUGUUAAUGAUGCUUUUGAUGUUUUCUUGGUCAGUUUUUUGACAUGUAUAAUAAGUGUUUUACUGUCUGUAGGGCCAGUGAAUCCAAUAAUCUGAAGCCAAAGAUGACUGAUGGUAUUCGUAAUUCAAUCAAGCAUAAAAACAAACUGUAUUAAGAAAUUUUUUACUUUACCCAAUGACGCCAAUAUAAUCGAUUUCGUAACAAACUUAAUGUAAUAAUUAAUACAGCUUCAGUUUUACCAAGGCGAAAUCCAAUACUAAAAGAAAUUUGGAACAUUAUUAACUCAGUUCUUAAAAAUUGUUCCAGAUUGAAUAGCCCUGUAAAAGUUUCCCACAAUGGUAAGACUAUUUACAGCUUUGAAGAAAUUGCCAACAAUUAUUUUGCUCGAAUUCGACCAUCCUUCGAUCAAAAGAUCCCUCCUGCUCAGAUCAAUGAUAAGUAUUUUCUUAAGCGCCAAAAUCCCAAGUCCAUACUUCUGAUCUGACUUCCACCUCUGAUAUCUGCUGGUGUACAUGGUGUAAGUCCAAGGGUUGUCAAAUCUGUUAUAAGACUAAUUAGUGACCCUCCUAUGUUAUAUUAUUAACGUAUCCUUAACUACUGUCACUUUUCUAGACAAGUUAAAGUCUGCCAGAGUUACACCUAUUUUGAAAGACGGAGAUCCUGCAGAGAAUGGGAAAUACAGACCUAUUUGUAUUCUGUCCUGUUUCUCUAAACUGUUUGAAAAAAAUGGAUAAGUCUCGGCUGCUCUAUAGUGGUCAAUAUAGGUUUCGUAGUGAUCAUUCUACUUGAAUGCCAUUACUUUAUUUAAUUAAUAAAAUCAUUCAUGGUUAUGAGGGCAAUCAGUAUAUCAUGAGUAUUUUUUCUAGAUUUGUCUAAAGCUUUUGACACAAUUAAUCAUAGUAUUCUAUUAGAUUAGCCGGAGUACUAUUGGUUUAGAGGUGUGGUUCAUGACUGGUUUGCCAAUUACAUAACUAAUUAUGUUGAUUCCAUUAAAUUUUCUUGUCUCUCCUAAAUAUCUUACGGUGUACCAUACGGUUCAUUGUUAGGCCUACUUAUAUUUAUUAUAUAUGUAAAUGGUAUUAGCAAAUCUUCUGACUUUUUGUAGUCUAUGCUGAUGAUACAAAUGUGUUAUGUACCGACAAAGAUUUACAUGUUCUGUUUGAAGAAGCAAGUAUGCACUUGGCAAAGGUUUCUGACUGGUUUAGGGCCAAAAGACUAUCGAUAAAUCACAAGAUGUGUAAUUUAUGAUUCUGCAAUGAGAAUAAGACGUGCAUUCAUUAUUAUAAUGUUGUUAUUGAUAAUAAAUUCAUACAAUGUUGUUAAUACCACUAUCAAAAUUGAGUUUAGCAUUGAUAGUAAGCUAACAUGGAAGCCCAAUAUAAAUUGAAUCUGUACCAAACUUUAAAGUCGAUUUAAAUAAUUAGUAGACUCAAACCUCUUUUCGAAUGUACUAUUUUGCGUACUCUUUACUGCUCACUAGUAUUACCUUACAUUUCAUAUUGUAAUAUUAUGUAGGGAAAUCUGUAUCCUAGAAACUUGAGUAAAUUGAUAACAUUGCAGAAGAAGGCUCUCCGUAUCAUUUCAAAAAAUCACCUUAGGGCAAAUACUUGUCCCAUAUUUAAAGGCUAUCCUCUCCUUUGCAUAUACCCAAGUGUAGGAUUACUGCAUCUAAACAUAACCUAUGAUAUUCUUUGCCACGUCUUUGGAAUAGUUUACCUAUCAUGAUAGGGAACUCAUCCAGUCUGAGGCUUUUCCAAUCGAAUCUUAAGUAACAUCUCCUUUAAAUUGGGGUGGCUUUCUGCUCUCUUUUCAAUCUACUAUUUAAAUCUCUUCUUAGGUCAAAACGUACGUACUGCGUAUUGACCAUUCCUGACCCUCCGAAGUAUAUUGUGGAUGAUCUGAACAACACGUUUUUCAAUUUCUUGUGGAAGGGAAAAGAUCGUGUUACUAGAAACUACACGGUUCAAGACUACAGCGUAGGUGGCUUGAAGACGAUAGAUACUAGAGCUGAUAUCGAUGCUCUCGAUGCUCCAGAUGGUUCAAGACUACAGCGUGGGUGGCUUGAAGUCGAUAGAUAUUAGAGCUGAUAUCGAUGCUCUAAAAAUUACCUGGCUCCGUAGGCUUUUAGUUUCAGAAGGCUUUGCCUAGUCACUUUUGGCCCAUGUUAUACUUGGUACCUAUAGUGCAAUGGUUCUCAAAGGGGGUUCUUUUCAUUGGUUCACUGCUAAUAACCGUUUAUAUGAACAUAAUCAAAUAUGGGCCGAUGUAUUGAACUCCUGGUAUAAAUUUACCUCUUGUCAUAAAUCUAUGUCCCACAAAGACGUCUUAAAAAGUAGUCUUUGGUUCAACGAUUUUGUUAAAGUUGGUAACAAAUGUAUUUAUUGUAGA